AUUCAUACAACAUAUGAUCGGAAGAAUAAUUGUCAAAUUCUUGCUCUAAGACGUUCUUCAGCAGCUCGAUACUUUUAAAGAGACUUCUUUCCUUCUCACUUGGGAGUGAAAGCCUGAAAGAUAAUUAGAACAAUAUGAUAGUGGUAUAUAGCAGGUGGAUCGAGUUUGAGAGUGGUGGGCUUACAGCAAAAAUAGUGGCGUGACCGGGAUCAGCCAGGUGAGCGAAGAGGUUGUCGAUAGGUCCUGUUCCGGUGUAGAUGUGUUGGAACCAUGCACCCAUAACUGCAAGCAUGGCUAAUCUUCCGUUCUUGAUCUCCUUGGUUCUCAACUCCUUGAUCUUUUCAGGAGAACCAGAUCCCCAACCGAGUGGGUCGAACCAUAAGCCACCUGGAUAGCCUACGUCAGUCCCGGUGAGCUUGUUGUUGGGGAAGAUGGGGUCUGUGUUCACGCAUCCAGGCUUGAUGAUGUCAGCCCACCGCCUUCCCUCAGCCCAGCCGAUGAGAAUCAACUCGAUGACGAAGAGCGUGGUUGUGUCAGUGAAGUACUCUUGCUCGCCAGCAGUGUACCACGAAGGCGUGUUCAGAAUUCCGAUCUUCGUGAGGAACUCCGGGAUGAAAAUACCCGCAGCCCCCAACAUCGCCCAUCUGCAGUGCACAAUCUCCGCUUGCUGGUUCCAUUUCAAGCUCUCGGGAUCAGAUGCUGUCAAUAUAAUGAUUGACCGAGGAUGGAGAACGUCAGAUCUAUGUCUAUUUUGGAGCCCGGAUUAAUUCAGAAACUACUCGGCUAGAUUUUACUUACCAAGACCGAGGGGAUCAAAACCAAAGUCUCCAGGGAGGCUGCCAUCGAGCCAUGGAGGAGGGGUGCUGCCUGGGAACCAGAGGGGUCGGUUGGGAUCAGCCGUAGCACAAACAGUAAAAGAUCGCGACGUGGCAGGGGCCGAGUACUUGCUCACUCUCAGCUUUCUCCCCGAGAGGAAAGACGCCUUUGUCUGGGAACUGCACAGGUGAAAAACAUCAAACCAGCGAGGGGAUUAGUCACUGUGUCCGACGGUGGAAACCCUAAAGAUCAGUACUCAAAACACUACAAAACUAUGAUCAUUCACACAAACAAAUCACAAAGAUUAAUGCUUUCAUGCUAUAGACAUGUAUGUUUAAGCAACGAUAUGAUCGGCCUUGCCUCGGGGACGAGAAUGCAGCGGCCGCAAUGGUGGACGAAGCAGCACAGGCAGAUGCCAUGUCGACAGAUUUCUGUACAAUGCAAUUGCAAGGUAUGAUUGUUGUGUUGUGUGUGGAAAGAAAUGAGAAAGGCUUAAACACUGAGAAGAUGAUAUUGAAGAGAAGGGGCUUAUCCUGAUGGAUAGGGAGGUGAAUAUGUGAUUGGGUUUCUGAAUUGCCAUGUGGCAUGCAGAAUCUAUUGUGUACCCAAAUAAUCUCAAUCUUGUGGUUCAUAUUCAACACUUGCUAUAUAUGCCUGAUAUUGAUAUGCUUCAAUUGUCUC